rnacentral:lncRNA from 1 species
CUUGCCCUGCGAAGGCCCCUCGAGGUGCAGGAUUGAAUGGACACAGCCACUGCCUCUACUCCCGAGGCCCGAGGGUGACCCUGAUGAGGGACUGGCACUACCCCUCUGGCGCCGGGCCCAGGCCUCGGAUGGCCAGCGACCCGCAGAGCUGCACGAGGCCAUCGGGGGCGCCCCAGGCUCUGUCACCUCCCUGUGUCCCGGACUCCUGAGGAGAAGGUGGCAGAGGGCAGGGGACGCGGCUGCGAGAUGCAAAGGGUGGAGGGAGCAAGAGUCACGCGGAGACCCGGGGCAGCGCGGGCCCGUGGAGCUUCCUUCCCAGGUCGGAACUUUUCUCUCCGACAGCGGGACGGGAGGGGACGCGGAGCGGGACACCACGUCCCGUCAACUCCGUCUGUGAGGCGCCACUUUGCGUUCCAGAGGAGAACCUCCCUUUGGGCUGUGGGGGACCUUGAACACCGCGGGAGACCUUGUCCUUUGUAAGCCCUUUGAGUGGAAGGGCCAGGGCGCCUCCUGGUGGCCCCCGCAGGGACGGCGUAGGGGAAUCCCCUCACCUAUGACGCGACGAGGGCUGGUCCGAAGAAAAUCGAUAUAAGCGCCCCAUUUCGGUGCAGGAGAAGGUCCUCUUGGACAGAGGCGCUCACCUGGAGGUUUCCCCGCCUGUCCUCCUGGCGCUGUCGGGAGCCUCAGCGCCGCGCCCUCUUGGCCUCCACCCUGGGGGCGCUGCGCGCUCCGGGCACCAGGGGCCCGGGCGGAGUCUCGGCGCCUCUGACCGCAGAACCCUCCUCGUGCGGUGCUCCAAGCGCCGCCUCGCCGAAGGGAGAGCUCCCAGCCCAGAGAGUACAAUCACCAGGAGUUGCAGACUUCUCUCCCGGACGCAGAGUCCUCUCGAUUAUCAAUCGGGUUCCAACCGAAGCGGCCACGGCGCCUACACACCGCACCGUGAGCACAGCCGGCCAGCCACGACCUGCGGUGGUGUGGUCCGGCGUCAGCAGAUGCCGCUGGUGUCUCUGCACCACCUGGAGCGCCAUGGCCACCUUGACCUACCUGAUUCGACAUCUGGAUUCCAGGGGAACUGCCAGGGUCAGAGGCUGAAGGCACAAGCAUGGAAAUCACCAACUGGUCAGACUCCAGGUUGGUGCACCUCAACACUCAGUGUUCACCACAAGCUUACCGGGAGGCCACC